rnacentral:rRNA from 1 species
UCUUGAUCUCAGAUCAGGCAGGAUGACCCGCUGAACUUAAGCAUAUUAGUAAGCGGAGGAAAAGAAACUAACCAGGAUUCCCUUAGUAACGGCGAGUGAAGCGGGAAUAGCCCAAUCUGAAAAGCUAGUCUGCCCUGGAGCAGGUCUCGCAUUGUAGGUUGAUGAAGCGUUUCCUAAGUUAAACCUUUCAAUUAAAGUUCCUUGGAACAGGACAUCAAAGAGGGUGAUAAUCCCGUGAUUAAUUGAAUGACAUACCAGUUUAACGACUAUGGAGCGUUUUCUUAGAGUCGGAAUGUUUGGGAUUGCAUUCCAAAAUGGGUGGUAAACUCCAUCUAAGGCUAAAUACUGGCGAGAGACCGAUAGCGAACAAGUACCGUGAGGGAAAGUUGAAAAGCACUCUGGAGAGAGAGUCAAACAGUACGUGAAAUUGCUAGCAGGGAAACGUUGGGCACCAGUACACGGCAAUCAAUGUUAAUGAUCAGUCGGUUUAUUAGUGAAUUAUAAUGCGGUGGUUAUACUUUGGAGAUUGUCCCAUUAGCGGCGACUCACGUAUUAUAAAUUAUUAAUCGACCGGUGCACUCUUUAACAGCCGGGUCAACAUCGGUUAAUGACGUCUAACAAGUUAGUUUUCAUACAACUGCAGGUGGCGAAAAUGUAGCAAGAGUAAGUUUAAUCGCUUACUUUUGAACUUAUAAGUCUGCUAGCGACGAUGUCAUUGACCGAGGAUUAAUCGAUUCGUGCGUUUCGGCGCAGGGCGUAUUAGUAAUGUUAAAAUUACACGUGUCAUUAAACAGCUUGCUGAUUAAUGGUCACUUUGCUAUUGCCACGUUGUAUAGCAGAGGUAGUUGCGUUGCUAAUACAAGCCACUAGCGAGUCUAUGAAUGUUGACGAAAUGGUAUUCAACGACCCGUCUUGAAACACGGACCAAGGAGUCUAACAUGUCUGCGAGUGUUUGGGUGG